rnacentral:rRNA from 1 species
CAGUCGCCGCGGGAAUACGAAGGGGGCUAGCGUUGCUCGGAAUGACUGGGCGUAAAGGGCGCGUAGGCGGCGAUCAAAGUCAGGCGUGAAAUUCCUGGGCUCAACCUGGGGGCUGCGCUUGAUACUUGGUUGCUUGAGUGGGGAAGAGGGUCGUGGAAUUCCCAGUGUAGAGGUGAAAUUCGUAGAUAUUGGGAAGAACACCGGUGGCGAAGGCGGCGACCUGGUCCUUGACUGACGCUGAGGCGCGAAAGCGUGGGGAGCAAACAGGAUUAGAGACCCCCGUAGUCCCUGUCUCUUAUAC